UGUAGAAUCGAUUAAUCUAAGGACCUAAUUUGGCUCGUUGGUUUGAGUCCGAUUCGCUUGAGCUAACCAAUUCUGAUCAAUCAAUCUAUUGGUGUCUAAGGCAAGUUAAUGAGAUGUAGUUAUUUAAUUAAUUCUGUUAGCCAAUCUGAUCAAUUUAUUGAUAUCUAAAGAAGACAACGGGGAGACCCCCACCGAUCUCUACUUAUCUGAUCAAUUUGGAAGAUUGGGUCUUGAAUUAGAUUGCUUAGCGGUUUGGUUUAGCCCAUACCAAUU
rnacentral:lncRNA from 1 species